AAGAUCCUAUGGCUGGUAUGCAGUAGAGCCUGAAUUCAAGUACGGGUCUUCCAGGUCCAAACCCAUGCAGGCUUUGAGAGCAAGGAGUAAGUGUUUCAACCUGAAGGCUGGUUUUGAAUUGUGUUCUGUGGAGCGUACUUAAAAUGGUGUCUCGCUCUGUCGCCUAGGCUGGAGUGCAAUGGCGUGAUCUUGGCUCAAUGCAGCCUCCACCUCCGGGGUUCAAGUGACUGUCCUGCCUCAGUCUCCCAAGUAACUGAAACUACAG